rnacentral:lncRNA from 1 species
CUUGGUUUGUCUGUUUUCCUAUUUUCCUCCUUCCAUAAUAUAAUCUCUUAAUUCAGAACCAGGGGCAUCUCUUUGCUUCCUUGGGGAUAGCCUUGAGUAUCUCAGAUAAAAAUGCGACACAAAUUCUGUCAAAAAGAACACUGAUGCUUAAUACUGAUUGUAGGGUAUACAUUAUUUUAGGUCCAAGAUUUACAUCAAUUCAUUUGGUCCUCAUAUCAUCCACAUGAGACAAAUAGCAGGACUCUGACAGUUUUCUAGCCAAUCAUGCUUGUCCUCUGAGGGCAUGGCAGGUGUACUAACAGCAUAUUUUCAUGGUAUAGAUCAAAAAGUCCAUACUACUCUUUAAUUACCUGGCCUGGUGGUACAGGGAGCACCUAUCCAAGGAUAUUGCAACUCUAUAAUACAAAUCUUGUCCACACAAGCAACCUUAGCAGAUGAUGGUUUUGUUUUGUUUGCUUUAUAGUGGAACUCAAAUGUGAGAGAUUCAUAGGUUCCUAAUGGUGCUCACAGUUACAUAAAGGCCAUGGAGUCCCUACAUCCCAAAGAUGCUUCCUGGUUGCUAAUUGACUUUUAGAGCAGACAAAAAAGAUGCAAGGGCAACCCCAUGCCUACCUUCCCAGAGGUUUAUACUAUGUAACUAGAAGGCAGUUGCCAAGGCAUGCCAUUGUUCUUCUUCCUUUCCUAGAAUGGAAUAUGGAAUAAAACCCCAUUUGGACCAGUCUCAAGCAUCCAAAUUACUGUCUACUGGCCUGGGAUUUGGGUUGGCCUGCUGGUAGAUUCCUGAGAUGUCAAAAAAUCACUGAAAAAUCCUUCAUCUACAUUUCUGAGUCCAUCAAUCUCUGAAGGGCAUUUAGAAAUGUGAAUUAGGGGGCUUUAAGGUAGAAGUAGUAAGCCAAAAAAUGAAGUAAUAGCUCAGUGAUUUCAUUAGACACUGAAACCUAAGUUAUUAAGCUGGGGUAGAUGGUUUCCAAUAUUUAGGAGGUGGUACUGGGAGUCAUAUGUACCUCGCGUUAUUGUCUCUGACUAAGUAUGAUGGACCUGCUGUGAUACACUGAGUGAGAGAGUCAUGUGUCUUUAAAGUUCAAGGAAAGGUUGGUCUCAUUUAGAUGAACUGCUCAGCAGAGCCAUGUUGGGAAUGUACUACUUAAGACAUUUAGUGGGAGGACAGCACAGACCAAGCCUACAAUCCUGCAAUAUAGAAAAUUGGCCUCUCGACUGUAGGACCUUCAGUUGCCCUAUAGAACUGCCCUGGUCUUGAAGGGCUAUGCAGGAGUAAUUGCAAAAUGGGAGAGGAGGCCCAGGACUCUGGCUGCAUAUCUGCAUAUACCCUUUAAUCAAAUGUUCAUGGAGUCCAGGGAAAAGCUGCCUAUUGCAAUACUCACUUCUCACCAUUCUUUGGGAUGUUGGUUCUAACCAUUUAUCAGACACAAAGAGAGUUCCUAUUCAAGACUUGACAGUACAGGUUCAUCUAGCCCCUCCCUUACCUACAAGGGCACCUUGAAGGCUAGUACCUGUUCUGUUUGUUCUUAUAUUGUAUACUGCUUCCAAAAUACCCACAAAUGCAUACAUGGAUGGGUAAAUGGAAGACUGCCUUGAAAACUCACUGUGCGAAUUUUAAGUAUAGAUUAAUGCUGGUUAAUCUUUCUAAUUCCCUGGUAAGAUCUAUGAAACUGUGAACUAUCAUUAGUCUAUUGAACUAAGAGCUAGUGUGGUUAUUAUGCUUCUAAAUGCAUCAUGAUUCAGUCCCAUGACCCCAUCUACGAAGAUCAAUAUUUGAAGUUUCUGAGUAAACACCAAUAUGUGGCCAAAGUGGAGAAAUAAAUAUUCCAGUUUCUAUCUUCUCUUCACAUGGAAACCGGUAGGUUUGAGCAACUUAGUAACAUAAUGGAAUAGUUCAACUACAUGUAACAUGAAGGACAAGCAAAUGUUCCAUGAGCUGUGCCUUGUUAUUCCUUGAUUUACAGUACUGGCAUUUUUUUACGCUUUUUAUCCUUCCUGCAUUUCUGAAAAAAGAAUGGCUAUUUCAGUCAAGGAAACAUGCCAGAGCCUGCAAUGGCAUUUGAUUUUGGCUCUGUGUAGUUUGCCUGGACUCCAACCAUUUGCAUUUGAAACAGAUUUAUUGAUUUUGGCUCUUCACAAUAUCUUAUCAUAGGAAGAGCAGGAGGCUGGAUCCCACUUCUGUUUGUGUACAUCUUAGGGAGGUCCAGCCUGAUGAAAUGUAUCGACCUUCUCUGAGAGAAAAAAUUCCUGUAUAUCAAACACAAGUUUGUGGAAUGGCAUUCUAUCAUUUUUUGAUCUUCCAGAAUGGACAGAGUGGAGUUACAUGUGCAAAAGCUUGAUUGAGGAAAACAUCUGUAAAGAGUAAAGGAGAGGAGUUCCCUGAUGGCCUAGUAGUUAAGGAUCCAGCAAUGUUACUGCAGUGGCUUGGGUUGCUGCCAUAGUGUGGGUUCGAUCCCUGGCCCAGGAACUUCUGCAUGCUGUGGGCAAAGCCAAAAAAAGGAAUAAAAGGGAGAGAAGGCAGGAGUCAGCAGGGAAAUACUUUAGUCCUCCAUGCAAGUCUAAAACCUACAAGGAGAGAGAAGAGUUAGAGACCAUCGGGCUGGGUGGAAGGGCCCUCAGCCAUAGUAAUAGCUCCAAGGUGGCCCCUUAUAGGCUGAUAAGAACAUCAGGGCCAAGGGCACCCCUCUGAACAUCCCCCACUGGGUAGAAAGCCAGGCCCCAGUAUUCUGCCUGGGCUGCUGGUGGGGUUUCUCUGUGAACAGCCCCAGGAGAGCAUUGGCCUGAGUAUGAACGUUGUGUGAAUCCUGUGGUUGCAGCAGCUGGGAACUUGUCAGCUGCACAACAGUCUUUGCAGUGGGCUCUCUCUUGAAUGGAGAUCUGAGGGGGUGCUUCCAUGGCUGCCAUGGGCCAGUGAUGUAAUUAAAAUCUCCUGUAGAGAGUGUCUUUCACUGAAACUUGUGCAAUAGAAACGUUCUCAAAUAUGGAAAAUAGUUCAAAGCCUAGGUGCCUGAGAGUGGUGGUUAAUGUCUACCACACAACUUCAGACGUCAAAACUGACAUAGAGAUAAGAUUAGUUCAAGGCUGAAUGGUAAAUUAUUUAAAAAGAGAAAUCGUCUUUGCAGUGCUUCACAGAGCCUUUAGUAGAUUGUAGUUGCUUCAUACAGUUUUGUUAAAGUGAAAGAUAAUGGUAAUUCCUCCUCCGUUCUGGAGGUGUCAAACUGUUAAUAAAAAGUAGCAUUGCUUUAGUAAUGAAACCCUUGCAAAUUACUUGAACAACUACCAUCCUAACUCCACAGCAUACACAUCCCUUGACCGAUAUUAUACAUUUAGAUCAAAAGCAGUUCUAAGUGCAAGUGAAAGAGGACAGCAUGUAAUUUAAGAACUUUAAUGCGAAAUAGGCUACAGACUAAUAGUGGCCCUAUUAUGGUCACUUCUUCAUCCAUGAUUCACAGCAAAGGCUGUCAUAAUGGUUACUUGCUCUAAUCGAACUUGUUCCAAACCCAAGUGUAUUAAAAAAAAAAAAAAUGGGGCCAGGGAAGGGGAUAAAUAAAAUCAAAUGAGGUAAUUGUUUAUGAUCCACUGGAUGUUGGAGCUAUGACUCAGAUAUCCAAGUCAAUUUCAAUUCUGUUUGCUUCUCCCCGAAUCCUUUUUCAGAGAAAGGAUUUUCACAUAAUUUAACCUAGAGGGCUGCUCUUACAUUUUACUGCAAUAUCAGAAAAUGAGAUCCCUCUUUGUUCUGAUUGAAGAAUACACAUAUCUCGAGAAGAGCUUCUGGGGAAGUCUUCUGAAACAGGUUAAGAUGUGUGAUGUACCAGCAAGGACUUCGAAAUAGAUCACAGUCUUGCUUUAAAUAGUUACCUCGAUAUUAUGUUUCUUAUUUGAUUUUUUUUCAGGCAGAAAAAUAAGUUUGUUGUGGUUUGAACAUGUCAUGUUAAGAUUCUUUAAAAUGAAAGGUAAACACAGCACUUUAUUCUUUCUUUUUUAAACUGUUUUAAUUAAAAAAUAAUUAUUUUUUCCACAUAUCUCUAUUUCUUUAUGUUAAGUACAUCCCCUUGCCUCUCUCCAAUAUUUACUUUGGUCCAAUUCACUGGUUGAUUUUAUUUAAAAUUCAGUUAAAAGAACAGAGUUUCUGGAGCUCUCUUGUGGCUUGGUGGAUUAAGAAGCCAGCACUGCCACUGCAGUGGCCCAGGUUGCUGCUGUGGCAUGGGUUUGAUCCCUGACCCAGUUACCGCUAUCCAUAUGCCAUGGGUGCCUCCAAAAAAUAAAUAAAUAAAGAAGAUCCCAUUGUAUAGUUAAAACUGAUUUUGUUUAUUACACAGUUUGCUUGCGAUACUGCUCAACAUGCCUAAAUCAAAGUUUUCGUUUUGGCUUAAUGUACACUUUUCCAGUUAGGCUAACAUGGAAACCAAAGAUGCCUUCCCUCUUUACAAAACUAGCUUCAGGUUCCUAGAUCUACUCUCCUGGGUCCUUGAAUGGAUUUGCUGUCUCUCCAGGACCGUCAUCUUCUGUCAUCUUCUUUUGGGACCUUGUGUCCUCAUUUAUCUCCUUCCCAUUUUGAAUAUGUUUUAAAACAAAAACAAAACCUCUCUGCCUGAUCCCAUCAUCCUCUCUAUCAACUAAGUGAUUGUUCUUUACUAAGUGUUCCCUUUACUAAGAAACACCACAAAGGAGUGUAAUUUCCUCAUUGUCUGUAUCUCAUAAAACAUUUCUUGCCUUAACCCCUUGCAGUGAAUUGUUUUUCUCUUUAAGCAAUAAGCCGCUUACCUUUUCCUUCUCCUCAUUCUCUUAACCUUUAUCUCAGUAACUCAAACUGUCAACGCUCCUUCUUCUUCACCAAAUUCCUGUGACUUCAGGGACCCCAUGCUGAAUAUUCACCUCAUUUUUUUGGCCUCUUUUUGGGCCCUCUCUCCCAGACCCCAUCCCUCUCCAUUUGAACAUUUGCUCCCUGAAACAUCACCUUGCAUUCAGAGCAGCUAAAAAUCGUGCCACACAAUGUGCUCAUGGACCCAAAUGUAUUCUUUCUAUUCCCAGUAACUGCAUGCUACCAAAUGCUCAGGUCUGAAACGUGGGCCGUCCUGUUGCCUUGACCAACAAUCUCAAUUCAGGAAGGAAGAUCAAUCCUAUAAACAAAGCAUGUUUUUUAAAAACUACACACAUAUACCCCUUCCAUCCCUGAUUCACUGGAUAAUAAUAAAAUGUUCAAUGUUCACUCCCCUUCUCACACCUACCAGCAGAGAUUAUAUUUCAGAUCCUAGAGGGCAAUUAAUAGCACCAAUAUAUAUACUCUCUUACAAAGAUAAGGACCAAAGAACACAUGAUCCUUAGAAAUUCUUCCCCAAAGAUUUCAUGGAACAUGUUCAGCCUUUUAAAAAAUAAUGCUUUCUAUCUCUGACACUCAAAGCUGGUCAUUCACUCCCCUUCUGGUUUUCUAAAAGCAUUUAAAAUGUUUUCCUCAAUUUUUUUUUUUUUUUUUGGCUAGUCAUUAAGGACUUUGUAACUCUUUGCUAUUGCAUUUGUAAUGACCCAUCAAACUAUCAAAUUGUCAUGAUGGUGUUGGUGCUAGGCACACACCAUAGGGGGAAAAAAGAAUGUGCAGUGUGGUGCCUAAAAAUGCAAACACAAAUUAACUUCUUUAAUUUGUGUGGAUAGAUAAAUAAUGAUUGCCGCAACCAGGGAUCUCAUAUGGCUUUGUUCAUAUUUUAAUAGUGUACUCCUCUUUGCAGUCUGAGUAAUUAAGUCUUAGGACAUUACAGGAAUCAUAAAUCCUGCUGAGAUGUUUAAGUUUAGAACACACUCUUGAUGUACAAUCAAAAUAUUAAAAAUAAAAAAAGGACACUUCUGGUUCUUAACAAGCUGUUUUGCUUCUACUUUUGAAACACAAUUGAAUGUGGCCCACUCAAACUGUUUAGUCUCAUUGUUAACUGGAAGUUCCUUUUGAAAUUCAUUGCCUUCGAUUACAUUUUUUUAAAAAGAAUUUUAAUUGCAUGUCUGUAAAGAAUAAAGAUGCUCUAGGCUCCAUUUGUUUAUCAUGGAGGGGCCGGAAAAAUGAGGACAGAGCUUCCCAGCUCAUGCAGGGGUUGCAGAGAGAGAGAGAUGACUUUUAAUUCGACAAGUUCAGAGAGAUUUCUUAGUUUGACGCGCUCUGCAGGGGGUCUUUGAGCGCCUGGCAAUGCUUCAGCAUUCUGAGCUUUGAAAGUCUUUCCCUGCAGCAGAAAUUGUAUCAAAAGCCAAUGAUAAUAUUCCCUGCAAGGUAAAGCACCCUAUUGAAGAUUUCGAGAGCUGUUUAUUUAUUCAUCACAGUUUUUCUUUUAGGACAUAUCAGGCAUCUAGGUAAUAAUUCACAUAGAUGAUAGAAA